GCAGGCUGCUGAAGGGGGAGGAUGCAGACUCUUGCUAGGGAGCUGCUACAGGCUCUGACUACAGAGCCACGGCACACAGCAUUCCGGACAGACUCCAGGCUGCCCCGUGGGCCUGGCGAAGAGACCGUGCCAGCAAGACCUGUGCCACCUGGGGGAACCCUGGAGCAUCGCAGAGGGAGAAAGGGUAGGAAGCUGCCCAGGGGACUUAGACUCUUCUCUGAACAUUGUGGGCCAAUGGUACAUUGGAAAGGAAACUCAUCCCACGUGCUACCAGAAGUAAAACCCACAAUAGUGUGGUGGUGAUGAUGAUGACAGAUCCCUAGGAAUGCAAUGGGCUUUGCCUGGAGCCACAGCAUUGCUUUUGGAGAAGUGGAGAGAACAGUGGCUGAAGAUGAGUGACUCUGUGUCUUGGAGAAGCAGAAAGCCUGGAGUUCCCAGACCUGUAGCUGGGUUGUGCCUCCUGUUACACCCUUUCAAGUCAUUGUUCCAUCUUCUCUGCAUCAUUCUGGGUUGUCUUGCCUCACAGAGGAGCCAACAGGGAGCAUCUUUAUACUAGACUGCGGGGACUGUAGUUCUGCCUAGUCUCUCACAAGGGAUAUCAAGAAGACAAAGAACAGUUGGACUUUGGGAGCAGAUCCUGGCCUGAGAGUUUGGUCCACAACAGUUUUGGAAACAUGGGAAAGGACUUCACCUUCAAACAGGUCUAGUUUCUUAAAAUGCAUCCUGGUACUAAACGUACCUUUAUUUCUCUUGUAGCCAUUUCUGACAUUAAUGCCUUAGGUUUUAAGUGUCUCCUGGAAGUUAAAUAAACUUGAUUUAUUUUUUAAUUAAAACUAAUCUAGUGUUUGAA